AUUGAACGCUGGCGGCAUGCCUUACACAUGCAAGUCGAACGGCAGCACGGGGCAACCUGGUGGCGAGUGGCGAACGGGUGAGUAAUGCAUCGGAACGUACCUUUCAGUGGGGGAUAACGUAGCGAAAGUUACGCUAAUACCGCAUAUUCUGUGAGCAGGAAAGCAGGGGAUCGCAAGACCUUGCGCUGAUUGAGCGGCCGAUGUCAGAUUAGCUAGUUGGUGAGUUAAAGGCUCACCAAGGCGACGAUCUGUAGCGGGUCUGAGAGGAUGAUCCGCCAAACUGGAACUGGGACACGGUCCAGACACCUACGGGAGUCAGCAGUGGGGAAUUUUGGACAAUGGGGGCAACCCUGAGCCAGCCAUGCCGCGUGAGUGAAGAAGGCCUUCGGGUUGUAAAGCUCUUUCGGCCGGGAAGAAAUCGCACGGGCUAAUACCCUGUGUGGAUGACGGUACCGGAAUAAGAAGCACCGGCUAACUACGUGCCAGCCGCCGCGGUAACAC
rnacentral:rRNA from 1 species